UACGGAGGAUCCGAGCGUUAUCCGGAUUUAUUGGGUUUAAAGGGUGCGCAGGCGGGAUGUUAAGUCGGCGGUGAAAUUUUGCAGCUCAACUGUAAAAGUGCCUUCGAUACUGGCUUUCUUGAGUGUGGAUGAAGUAGGCGGAAUUUGUGGUGUAGCGGUGAAAUGCUUAGAUAUCACGAGGAACUCCGAUUGCGCAGGCAGCUUACUAAACCACUACUGACGCUCAUGCACGAAGGCGUGGGGAUCAAACAGGAUUAGAUACCU
rnacentral:rRNA from 1 species